rnacentral:tRNA from 2 species
AGAGAGUUGGCAGAAGGGGAAUGCACUUAAUUUGAGAUUAAAUUUUUAAGGGUUCAAGUCCCUUACUCUCUU